UACGUAGGGGGCAAGCGUUGUCCGGAAUCAUUGGGCGUAAAGCGCGUGUAGGCGGUUCGGUAAGUCUGCUGUGAAAGUCCAGGGCUCAACCCUGGGAUGCCGGUGGAUACUGUCGGACUAGAGUACGGAAGAGGCGAGUGGAAUUCCUGGUGUAGCGGUGGAAUGCGCAGAUAUCAGGAGGAACACCGGUGGCGAAGGCGGGUCUCUGGGCAGUAACUGACGCUGAGGAGCGAAAGCGUGGGGAGCGAACAGG
rnacentral:rRNA from 1 species